rfam:Canis lupus familiaris chromosome 23, whole genome shotgun sequence.
AACGCUUCUUGGCCUUUUGGCUAAGAUCAAGUGUACUAUUCUGUUCUUAUCAAUUUAAUACCUAAUAAAUCCUCUCUCCAUUUUACCAUUCUUCUCAUGGGUACUCCAU